GAGAGUUUGAUCCUGGCUCAGGAUGAACGCUGGCGGCGUGCCUAAUACAUGCAAGUCGAGCGAAUGGAUUAAGAGCUUGCUCUUAUGAAGUUAGCGGCGGACGGGUGAGUAACACGUGGGUAACCUGCCCAUAAGACUGGGAUAACUCCGGGAAACCGGGGCUAAUACCGGAUAACAUUUUGAACCGCAUGGUUCGAAAUUGAAAGGUGGCUUCGGCUGCCACUUAUGGAUGGACCCGCGUCGCAUUAGCUAGUUGGUGAGGUAACGGCUCACCAAGGCAAUGAUGCGUAGCCGACCUGAGAGGGUGAUCGGCCACACUGGGACUGAGACACGGCCCAGACUCCUACGGGAGGCAGCAGUAGGGAAUCUUCCGCAAUGGACGAAAGUCUGACGGAGCAACGCCGCGUGAGUGAUGAAGGCUUUCGGGUCGUAAAACUCUGUUGUUAGGGAAGAACAAGUGCUAGUUGAAUAAGCUGGCACCUUGACGGUACCUAACCAGAAAGCCACGGCUAACUACGUGCCAGCAGCCGCGGU
rnacentral:rRNA from 1 species